GGAUGAACGCUAGCUACAGGCUUAACACAUGCAAGUCGCGGGGCGAGCGAGGGGUUAGGCUUGCUAACCCUGUCGGCGACCGGCGCACGGGUGAGUAACGCGUAUCCAACCUUCCCCCUAGUAGGGCAUAGCCCGGCGAAAGUCGGAUUAAUACCCUAUGUUGUAUAUUGAGGACAUCUGAUUUAUACCAAAGAUUCAUCGCUAGGGGAUGGGGAUGCGUCCGAUUAGGUAGUCGGCGGGGUAACGGCCCACCGAGCCUUCGAUCGGUAGGGGUUCUGAGAGGAAGGUCCCCCACACUGGUACUGAGACACGGACCAGACUCCUACGGGAGGCAGCAGUGAGGAAUAUUGGUCAAUGGGCGCAAGCCUGAACCAGCCAAGUAGCGUGCAGGACGACGGCCCUAUGGGUUGUAAACUGCUUUUAUGCGGGGAUAAAGUUCGCCACGUGUGGCGUUUUGCAGGUACCGCAUGAAUAAGGACCGGCUAAUUCCGUGCCAGCCGCUGC
rnacentral:rRNA from 1 species